AAUAUUGGACAAUGGGCGAAAGCCUAAUCCAGCCAUGCAGCGAGUUUGAAGUAGGUCUUCGGAUUGUAAAGCACUUUUAGUUGGGAGGAAGGGUUGUCGGUUAAUUCCCUGCAAUUUUGACGAUACCAACAGAAUAAUCACCUGCUAACUUCGUGCCAGCAGCCGCGGUAACACGAAGGGUUCAAGCGUUAAUCGGAAUUACUGGGCGUAAAGGGUGCGUAGGUGGUUCGUUAAGUUGGAAGUGAAAGCCACGGGCUUAACCUGGGAAUUGCUUUCAAAACUGACGAGCUAGAGUACGGUAGAGGGUAGUGGAAUUUCCUGUGUAGCGGUGAAAUGCGUAGAUAUAGGAAGGAACAUCAGUGGCGAAGGCGACUACCUGGACUGAUACUGACACUGAGGUGCGAAAGCGUGGGGAGCAAACAGG
rnacentral:rRNA from 1 species